AGUGAACGCUGGCGGUAGGCCUAACACAUGCAAGUCGAACGGCAGCACAGUAAGAGCUUGCUCUUACGGGUGGCGAGUGGCGGACGGGUGAGGAAUACAUCGGAAUCUACUUUUUCGUGGGGGAUAACGUAGGGAAACUUACGCUAAUACCGCAUACGACCUACGGGUGAAAGCAGGGGAUCUUCGGACCUUGCGCGAUUGAAUGAGCCGAUGUCGGAUUAGCUAGUUGGCGGGGUAAAGGCCCACCAAGGCGACGAUCCGUAGCUGGUCUGAGAGGAUGAGCAGCCACACUGGAACUGAGACACGGUCCAGACUCCUACGGGAGGCAGCAGUGGGGAAUAUUGGACAAUGGGCGCAAGCCUGAUCCAGCCAUACCGCGUGGGUAAAGAAGGCCUUCGGGUUGUAAAGCCCUUUUGUUGGGAAAGAAAAGCAGCAGGUUAAUACCCCGCUGUUCUGACGGUACCCAAAGAAUAAGCACCGGCUAACUUCGUG
rnacentral:rRNA from 1 species